AUUGAACGCUGGCGGCAUGCCUUACACAUGCAAGUCGAACGGCAGCGGGCCUUCGGGUGCCGGCGAGUGGCGAACGGGUGAGUAAUGCAUCGGAACGUGCCAUUGAGUGGGGGAUAACGUAGCGAAAGUUACGCUAAUACCGCAUAUUCUGUGAGCAGGAAAGCAGGGGACCGCAAGGCCUUGCGCUCUUUGAGCGGCCGAUGUCAGAUUAGCUAGUUGGUGAGGUAAAGGCUCACCAAGGCGACGAUCUGUAGCGGGUCUGAGAGGAUGAUCCGCCACACUGGAACUGAGACACGGUCCAGACUCCUACGGGAGGCAGCAGUGGGAAUUUUGGACAAUGGGCGCAAGCCUGAUCCAGCCAUGCCGCGUGAGUGAAGAAGGCCUCGGUUGUAAG
rnacentral:rRNA from 1 species